AGCAGCCGCGGUAAUUCCAGCUCCAAUAGCGUAUAUUAAAGUUGUUGCAGUUAAAAAGCUCGUAGUUGAAUUUCGGGGUUCAUCCGUUGGUCGGGCUUUUUUGGUCUGUACUGGCGUGAUGGAUUCCUACCUUCUGAAUAACCGGCAUGUCAUUAAUUUGGUGCGCUGGGGAAGCAGGACUGUUACCUUGAAAAAAAUUAGAGUGCUUAAAGCAGGCUAUCGCCUGAAUACAUUAGCAUGGAAAUAAUGAAAUAGGACGGCAUGGUUCUAUUUUGUUGGUUUCUAGGAUCACCGUAAUGAUUAAUAGGGAUAGUUGGGGGCAUUAGUAUUUCAAUUGUCAGAGGUGAAAUUCUUGGAUUUAUUGAAGACUAACUUCUGCGAAAGCAUUUGCCAAGGAUGUUUUCAUUAAUCAAGAACGAAAGUUAGGGGAUCGAAGACGAUCAGAUACCGUCGUAGUCUUAACCAUUAAACUAUAGCCGACUAGGGACCGACGAUGUUAAUUUUUAAUGUACUCGUUCGG
rnacentral:rRNA from 1 species